rnacentral:rRNA from 1 species
AUUGAACGCUGGCGGCAGGCCUAACACAUGCAAGUCGAACGCGAAAUCACUUCGGUGAGAGUAGAGUGGCGGACGGGUGAGUAACGCGUGGGAAUCUACCUCGUAGUGGGGGACAACUUGUGGAAACGCAAGCUAAUACCGCAUACGUCCUGAGGGAGAAAGCAGGGGAUCUUCGGACCUUGUGCUAUGAGAUGAGCCCGCGUCGGAUUAGCUAGUUGGUGGGGUAAAGGCCUACCAAGGCGACGAUCCGUAGCUGGUCUGAGAGGAUGAUCAGCCACACUGGAACUGAGACACGGUCCAGACUCCUACGGGAGGCAGCAGUGGGGAAUAUUGCACAAUGGGCGAAAGCCUGAUGCAGCCAUGCCGCGUGUGUGAAGAAGGCUCUAGGGUUGUAAAGCACUUUCAGCAAGGAGGAAAGGUUGUAAGUUAAUACCUUGCAACUGUGACGUUACUUGCAGAAGAAGCACCGGCUAACUCCG